rnacentral:rRNA from 1 species
GGUUAAGCGACUAAGCGUACACGGUGGAUGCCCUGGCAGUCAGAGGCGAUGAAGGACGUGCUAAUCUGCGAAAAGCGUCGGUAAGGUGAUAUGAACCGUUAUAACCGGCGAUGUCCGAAUGGGGAAACCCAGUGUGAUUCGUCACACUAUCGUUAACUGAAUACAUAGGUUAACGAGGCGAACCGGGGAACUGAAACAUCUAAGUACCCCGAGGAAAAGAAAUCAACCGAGAUUCCCCCAGUAGCGGCGAGCGAACGGGGAGCAGCCCAGAGUCUGAAUCAGCUUGUGUGUUAGUGGAACGGUCUGGAAAGUCCGACGGUACAGGGUGAUAGUCCCGUACACCAAAAUGCACAGGCUGUGAACUCGAAGAGUAGGGCGGGACACGUGGUAUCCUGUCUGAAUAUGGGGGGACCAUCCUCCAAGGCUAAAUACUCCUGACUGACCGAUAGUGAACCAGUACCGUGAGGGAAAGGCGAAAAGAACCCCGGCGAGGGGAGUGAAAAAGAACCUGAAACCGUGUACGUACAAGCAGUGGGAGCACCUUCGGGUGUGACUGCGUACCUUUUGUAUAAUGGGUCAGCGACUUAUAUUCUGUAGCAAGGUUAACCGUAUAGGGGAGCCGCAGGGAAACCGAGUCUUAACUGGGCGUUAAGUUGCAGGGUAUAGACCCGAAACCCGGUGAUCUAGCCAUGGGCAGGUUGAAGGUUGGGUAACACUAACUGGAGGACCGAACCGACUAAUGUUGAAAAAUUAGCGGAUGACUUGUGGCUGGGGGUGAAAGGCCAAUCAAACCGGGAGAUAGCUGGUUCUCCCCGAAAGCUAUUUAGGUAGCGCCUCGUGAACUCAUCUUCGGGGGUAGAGCACUGUUUCGGCUAGGGGUCAUCCCGACUUACCAACCCGAUGCAAACUACGAAUACCGAAGAAUGUUAUCACGGGAGACACACGGCGGGUGCUAACGUCCGUCGUGAAGAGGGAAACAACCCAGACCGCCAGCUAAGGUCCCAAAGUCAUGGUUAAGUGGGAAACGAUGUGGGAAGGCACAGACAGCCAGGAUGUUGGCUUAGAAGCAGCCAUCAUUUAAAGAAAGCGUAAUAGCUCACUGGUCGAGUCGGCCUGCGCGGAAGAUGUAACGGGGCUAAACCAUGCACCGAAGCUGCGGCAGCGACACUAUGUGUUGUUGGGUAGGGGAGCGUUCUGUAAGCCUGCGAAGGUGUGCUGUGAGGCAUGCUGGAGGUAUCAGAAGUGCGAAUGCUGACAUAAGUAACGAUAAAGCGGGUGAAAAGCCCGCUCGCCGGAAGACCAAGGGUUCCUGUCCAACGUUAAUCGGGGCAGGGUGAGUCGACCCCUAAGGCGAGGCCGAAAGGCGUAGUCGAUGGGAAACAGGUUAAUAUUCCUGUACUUGGUGUUACUGCGAAGGGGGACGGAGAAGGCUAUGUUAGCCGGGCGACGGUUGUCCCGGUUUAAGCAUGUAGGCUGGUUGUCCAGGCAAAUCCGGAUAAUCAAGGCUGAGGUGUGAUGACGAGGCACUACGGUGCUGAAGUAACAAAUGCCCUGCUUCCAGGAAAAGCCUCUAAGCAUCAGGUAACAUCAAAUCGUACCCCAAACCGACACAGGUGGUCAGGUAGAGAAUACCAAGGCGCUUGAGAGAACUCGGGUGAAGGAACUAGGCAAAAUGGUGCCGUAACUUCGGGAGAAGGCACGCUGGUGUGUAGGUGAAGUCCCUGCGGAUGGAGCUGAGACCAGUCGAAGAUACCAGCUGGCUGCAACUGUUUAUUAAAAACACAGCACUGUGCAAACACGAAAGUGGACGUAUACGGUGUGACGCCUGCCCGGUGCCGGAAGGUUAAUUGAUGGGGUUAUCCGUAAGGAGAAGCUCUUGAUCGAAGCCCCGGUAAACGGCGGCCGUAACUAUAACGGUCCUAAGGUAGCGAAAUUCCUUGUCGGGUAAGUUCCGACCUGCACGAAUGGCGUAAUGAUGGCCAGGCUGUCUCCACCCGAGACUCAGUGAAAUUGAACUCGCUGUGAAGAUGCAGUGUACCCGCGGCAAGACGGAAAGACCCCGUGAACCUUUACUAUAGCUUGACACUGAACAUUGAGCCUUGAUGUGUAGGAUAGGUGGGAGGCUUUGAAGCGUGGACGCCAGUCUGCGUGGAGCCAACCUUGAAAUACCACCCUUUAAUGUUUGAUGUUCUAACGUUGGCCCCUUACCGGGGUUGCGGACAGUGUCUGGUGGGUAGUUUGACUGGGGCGGUCUCCUCCCAAAGCGUAACGGAGGAGCACGAAGGUUAGCUAAUCCUGGUCGGACAUCAGGAGGUUAGUGCAAUGGCAUAAGCUAGCUUGACUGCGAGCGUGACGGCGCGAGCAGGUGCGAAAGCAGGUCAUAGUGAUCCGGUGGUUCUGAAUGGAAGGGCCAUCGCUCAACGGAUAAAAGGUACUCCGGGGAUAACAGGCUGAUACCGCCCAAGAGUUCAUAUCGACGGCGGUGUUUGGCACCUCGAUGUCGGCUCAUCACAUCCUGGGGCUGAAGUAGGUCCCAAGGGUAUGGCUGUUCGCCAUUUAAAGUGGUACGCGAGCUGGGUUUAGAACGUCGUGAGACAGUUCGGUCCCUAUCUGCCGUGGGCGCUGGAGAAUUGAGGGGGCUGCUCCUAGUACGAGAGGACCGGAGUGGACGCAUCACUGGUGUUCGGGUUGUCAUGCCAAUGGCACUGCCCGGUAGCUAAAUGCGGAAGAGAUAAGUGCUGAAAGCAUCUAAGCACGAAACUUGCCCCGAGAUGAGUUCUCCCUGAGACUUUAAGUCUCCUGAAGGAACGUUGAAGACGACGACGUUGAUAGGCCGGGUGUGUAAGCGCAGCGAUGCGUUGAGCUAACCGGUACUAAUGAACCGUGAGGCUUAACCUU